UACGAGGGGAGCUAGCGUUGUUCGGAAUCACUGGGCGUAAAGCGCACGUAGGCGGACGUGUCAGUCAGGGGUGAAAUCCCGGAGCUCAACUUCGGAACUGCCUUUGAUACAGCACGUCUUGAGUCCGGAAGAGGUGGGUGGAAUUCCUAGUGUAGAGGUGAAAUUCGUAGAUAUUAGGAAGAACACCAGGUGGCGAAAGCGGCCUCC
rnacentral:rRNA from 1 species